rnacentral:rRNA from 1 species
UACAGAGGGUGCAAACGUUGCUCGGAAUUAUUGGGCGUAAAGAGCUCGUAGGCGGUUUGUCGCGUCUGCUGUGAAAACCCGAGGCUCAACCUCGGGCCUGCAGUGGGUACGGGCAGACUAGAGUGCGGUAGGGGAGAUUGGAAUUCCUGGUGUAGCGGUGGAAUGCGCGGAUAUCAGGAGGAACACCAAUGGCGAAGGCAGAUCUCUGGGCCGUAACUGACGCUGAGGAGCGAAAGCAUGGGGAGCGAACAGG